rnacentral:rRNA from 1 species
GGGGGGGCAAGCGUUUGUUCGGAUUUACUGGGCGUAAAGGGCUCGUAGGCGGCCACCUAAGUCGAUUGUGAAAUCCCUCGGCUCAACCGGGGAACUGCGACCGAUACUGGGUGGCUUGUAGCCGGGAGAGGGAUGCGGAAUUCCAGGUGUAGCGGUGAAAUGCGUAGAUAUCUGGAGGAACACCCGUGGCGAAGGCGGCAUCCUGGACCGGCCUUGACGCUGAGGAGCGAAAGCUAGGGGAGCGAACGGGAUUAGAUACCCCGGUAGUCCUAGCCCUAAACGAUGAAUGCUUGGUGUGGCGGGUAUCGAUCCCCUGCCGUGCCGUAGCUAACGCGUUAAGCAUUCCGCCUGGGGAGUACGGUCGCAAGGCUG